UACAGAGGUCUCAAGCGUUGUUCGGAUUCAUUGGGCGUAAAGGGUGCGUAGGCGGCGCGGUAAGUCGGGUGUGAAAUCUUGGAGCUUAACUCCGAAACUGCAUUCGAUACUGCCGUGCUUGAGGACUGGAGAGGAGACUGGAAUUUACGGUGUAGCGGUGAAAUGCGUAGAUAUCGUAAGGAAGACCAGUGGCGAAGGCGGGUCUCUGGACAGUUCCUGACGCUGAGGCACGAAAGCUAGGGGAGCAAACGGG
rnacentral:rRNA from 1 species